AACAAGGUUUCCGUAGGUGAACCUGCGGAAGGAUCAUUGUCGAAACCGAAAGAAAGAAGGACUCGCGCACGGUAAUCCAGGGCUCGCGGGCGUAUCGUGCUCGCGCGGCUCGCGUCGUUUCGUCGGGGGCCCCUUCCCGGGACCCGCGUCUUGCGUGCGGACCGAACAAACACACCCCCAGCACGGAUCGUGCCAAGGAGCUGAAAUGUAGACGAUCGUCGUCCGACGCCCCGUUCUCAUUCUCGACAUGGGUCGGCGGCGGACAAGGGCGACCCUCGCUCUAGAAGCAUUUGAACGACUCUCGGCAACGGAUAUCUCGGCUCAUGCAUCGAUGAAGAACGUAGCGAAAUGCGAUACUUGGUGUGAAUUGCAGAAUCCCGCGAACCACCAAUUCUUUGAACGCAAGUUGCGCCCGAAGCCAUCCGGCAGAGGGCACGCCUGGCUGGGUGUCGUGAAUCCCUUGCCCCUUGGGCUCCCGCACGAACAUGGGUGGGGGAAUAUGCUCGCCCGGGCGCAGAAUGUGGCCUCCCGUAAUCGGCGUGCGCGUCACUUCGAUGCGCGGUUGGCCUAAAGUCGAGCACUGUGGCCACGGGUUCCACGGCGGUCGGUGGAUCGAAUGCGAUUGGCUGCGUCGUGGGCUCGGCGGGCUGCGGGCACAGGACUAGGACAUAGUGUCGACGAGCGCGAUCCCAGGUCAGGCGGGGCUACCCGCUGAGUUUAAGCAUAUCAAUAAGCGGAGGAAAAGAAACUAACGAGGAUUCCCUUAGUAGCGGCGAGCGAACCGGGAGGAGCCCAGCAUGAAAAUCGUUCGCCGUCGGCGGUCGAAUUGUAGUCUGGAGAAGCGUCCUCAGUGACGGACCGGACCCAAGUUCGCUGGAAGGCGGCGCCGGAGAGGGUGAGCCCCGUCGUGCCC
rnacentral:rRNA from 1 species